rnacentral:rRNA from 1 species
GACGAACGCUGGCGGCGUGCUUAACACAUGCAAGUCGAACGGGUCUGCCCUGUUUUUUGCGGGGUGGGUCGGUGGCGAACGGGGGAGUAACACGUGAGUAACCUGCCCCUCACUUCUGGAUAACCGCUGGAAAGGGUGGCUAAUACGGGGUGUUCUGGCUGUUCCGCAUUGGGUGGCGGGGAAAGACUGACGUUGGUGGUGUUUUGGUGGGUGAUGGGCUCGCGGGCUAUCAGGUGGUUGGUGGGGUGAUGGGCUGGCAGGGGGUUGGGGGGUGGCCGGCCUGAGAGGGUGGGCGGUCACACUGGGACUGAGAUCAGGCCCAGACUCCUGCGGGAGGCAGCAGUGGGGGGUAUUGCACAAUGGGCGGAAGCCUGAUGCAGCGACGUCGCGGGAGGGAUGGAGGCCUUCGGGUUGUGAACCUCUUUCGCCGGUGAAGAAGGUCCUGCUCUUGGUGGUGGGGUUGAAGGUAGCCGGGUUAUGAAGCGCCGGCUAACUACGUG